rnacentral:rRNA from 1 species
AGUGAACGCUGGCGGUAGGCCUAACACAUGCAAGUCGAACGGCAGCACAGUAAGAGCUUGCUCUUACGGGUGGCGAGUGGCGGACGGGUGAGGAAUACAUCGGAAUCUACUUUUUCGGGGGGGAUAACGUAGGGAAACUUACGCUACUACCGCAUACGACCUACGGGUGAAAGCAGGGGAUCUUCGGACCUUGCGCGAUUGAAUGAGCCGAUGUCGGAUUAGCUAGUUGGCGGGGUAAAGGCCCACCAAGGCGACGAUCCGUAGCUGGUCUGAGAGGAUGAUCAGCCACACUGGAACUGAGACACGGUCCAGACUCCUACGGGAGGCAGCAGUGGGGAAUAUUGGACAAUGGGCGCAAGCCUGAUCCAGCCAUACCGCGUGGGUGAAGAAGGCCUUCGGGUUGUAAAGCCCUUUUGUUGGGAAAGAAAAGCAGCAGGUUAAUACCCCGCUGUUCUGACGGUACCCAAAGAAUAAGCACCGGCUAACUUCGUG